rnacentral:misc_RNA from 1 species
GUGAAUCAUCAAAUUUUUGAACGCAAAUUGCACUCUCUGGUAUUCCGGAGAGUACGCCUGUUUGAGAGUCAGUUUAAAUAAAAAUCGUUGUGGUUUCUGCCUAUCUGGGUGACGCACCGGAUUUGUGUCGUCUUGCCUUCGGUGAAGUGACCUAAAAUUUUGCAUGAUUUUUUUCGAACGUAUUUAAAUGAUUUUACGUACGUUUGCGAUAGCGGAUACUAGGUGUUGUCAUCCUCAUAAUUCGCGC